rnacentral:lncRNA from 1 species
GUUGGUGAUUUUAACAUUUUCUGUUAAUUCUAUUGAUUGUCUAGAAUAUGACUGGAAUAGAGUUUGAUACUUGUAAGUUAACAGUAUCAAAAUCUGAUCCACUACAUGUUAUGGACAGUUACAAAAUAUAUAUCUUAUGAAGACGAAACGUGCGUCUGGCAUACUAAAUUAUAAUCCUGGUACCUUUGAUUUACACCACUGGGUCGAUGCCACUGCUGGUGGACGUUUCGUCCCCGAGGGUAUCACCAGCCCAGUAGUAACUGCAGUGUUGACAUGAAUAUAAAUAAUGUGGUCAUUUUAAUAAAUUUCCUGUUUAUACAAAACUUUGAAUUUUUCGAAAAACUAAGGAUUU